rnacentral:piRNA from 1 species
UGAGAAAUCAACUACAGUCUACUUCCAGCC